AUGGUUAAUUAGGCCCCUAAUUGAUAUGGAGAAAAUGUACACAGCUCGCUGCCAAGAAAGAAGAGGCAGAGUCAUUUACCAUAAAAGAGUGAUAAAAAUAUCCUUCUUCAACAAUAGAAGCAGGAGAAAUUUAUGGCUAUUGAGAAUCUGGUUAAAAUCCAUUCGCUUAUGUAAAAUAAUUUCUCCAGAAGUGGGCUGAGAAAUUG
rnacentral:misc_RNA from 1 species